rnacentral:lncRNA from 1 species
UGAACGCGGGAGUAUGGCGAUAGUUCAUCCCUUUCGAAUUACUCACCAGUCCAGUCACCCCCAGUGAUUGCACCGGUGAUCUCUGCUCCCAAAACUAUAUUCACUCGAUUUCAAUUCACAUGGUUGAUUUCAGAUAGCAUUUGCGGUGGGAUAUGAAUUUGAUUCCUCAUUUCCAAGGUUGAUACCAUAUUAAAGAAACCAACCCAAGAUGGAGAUUGCUGCUAAUCUACUGGUCUCAAUUGUGAUGAUGAUUCAUAACAAUAAUCAUGAUAAAUGUAUGCUUGUGCAGCCUGCAUUUUU